rnacentral:rRNA from 1 species
AUGAUGAACUCCGUUGCAUUUCCUCACUCUGUUAUACUCCUAGCAUUAGCAAUCUCCUCCACACUUUCAGUUCUUCUAGCCAAGACUGGAGCACAAGAUACUCUGGGGCAAGCAGUUUGCCCCUCUUUCUCCUGCGGGCAUCUCCAAGACAUCCAGCAUCCUUUCCGUUUGCGAGGUGAUCCGCCUGGUUGUGGUCUUCGAGAAUAUGAGCUAUUUUGUAGCGAUAGCCAGGCUAUAAUUCACAUCGACACGGGAAGAUAUCUCGUCACUAACAUUUCCUACAGCGACUCUGUUUUCUGGGUUGUUGAUGCCAGUUUGGAUAAUAGCACCAUCUGCCCUAUUCCUCAGAGGAAUCAACGCCCUUAUAUCUAUGGAUUGCAAUCAGCUAACACGAUACUGCUCUACCCGGAUUCAGGCCAAUGGGCCGCCUUUGUGAGUUGUUCACGCAUGAUAAAAAAUAAUGCUAUUUAUAGGCCUGUUGCUUGCCGGAGCACCAACACUUCUUUUGUUUAUGUGUUGACUACCGUGCUUUCUUAUUGGUCUAAAAAUGUUGAGCCUUCAUGUGGAUACUUGGCCAUGACUCCUCUCGGAAGUUGGCAUCCGAGGCCAAAUGGUUUUGCAAGUUAUGAUUAUGAAGAUGUCGUAAAAUUUAUGAGGACAGGGUUUGCUGUUAGAUUUCCUGUAUAUCGUGCUCCCUGGACAUAUUCUUGGAUCCUCAAGACAUGCCUGAAUGAUUCAAUGAGUAACUUCCACGAAAAGAUGUCUAGUUCAAACAUCCUAAAUCAGACUUCAGCUAUUGUUGGCAUCGACAUGCAUUUCUUGAGAUGUGUAAAUGACCACUCCUACCAAACGAAAUUAUUUUGGGCAGCGGUGGUCAUGGUAUCUACCAUAAGUAUUGUGAAGUUCAUUAUUGUGUUUGCAAUACUAUCCAGGUUGGUGUUUGCACCAUUGUCCGUAUUGACCUUCCUUGCCUACAAGUACUGGCUAACAAAGAUAUCAGUUGACGCAGUUGAGAGGUUCCUCCAGAUGCAAUUAGCUCUUGCCCCAACAAGGUACGCUUACACAGACAUCACUGCGAUCACUAGCCACUUCAAGGAGAAGCUGGGCCAAGGAGGCUAUGGUUCUGUGUACAAAGGUGUGCUUCCUGGUGACGUCCAUGUCGCCAUCAAAAUGUUGGUCAGCUCCAUGUCCAACGGAGAAGAAUUCAUCAGUGAGGUGUCCAGCAUCGGAAGAAUUCACCAUGUCAAUGUGGUGCGUCUGGUGGGUUUCUGCUCGGAGGAAAUGAGGAGGGCUCUUGUUUACGAGUACAUGCCCCGCGGAUCUCUUGAGAAGUACAUCUUCUCGCCAGAGAAGAGUUUCUCCUGGGACAAGCUCAAUCAGAUUGCUCUGGGCAUUGCCAGAGGGAUCGACUACCUGCACCGAGGGUGCGAUAUGCAGAUAUUACACUUCGACAUCAAGCCGCACAACAUCCUGUUGGACAGUGACUUCACCCCAAAAAUCGCUGACUUUGGACUGGCGAAACUGUACCCCAGGGACAACAGCUUUUUGCCGGUGAGCGCUGCGCGGGGAACAGUUGGCUACAUAGCUCCCGAGAUGGUGUCCCGUAGCUUUGGCGCCAUAUCGUCCAAGUCUGAUGUCUACAGCUUUGGGAUGCUGUUGCUGGAGAUGGCCGGAGGGCGGAGGAACGUGGACCCACAAGCAUCAAGAAGCCAGACAUACUACCCGUCAUGGGUGUACAAUCAGAUGUCUCGGCAAGAGGUGGGUGAGAUCUCGGAGGCUGUUGGUAUCCAUCAGGUGGAGAGGAAGCUGUGCGUCGUUGCGCUUUGGUGCAUCCAGAUGAAGCCAGACGAUCGACCGGCGAUGAGCGAGGUGAUAGACAUGCUCGAAACUGGCAUCGAUGGCCUGGAGAUGCCUCCUGAGCCCUUCUUCUGCGGGGACGAGUUCGCCCCUGCUGCAGAUUCUUCAGUAUUAUCAGAAAUACCUAUAUAUACAUCGUAG